CCUACGGGAGGCAGCAGUGAGGAAUAUUGCACAAUGGGGGGAACCCUGAUGCAGCAACGCCGCGUGGAGGAUGACGCAUUUCGGUGUGUAAACUCCUUUUAUUAGGGAAGAUAAUGACGGUACCUAAKAAAAGCACCGGCUAACUCCG
rnacentral:rRNA from 1 species